rnacentral:rRNA from 1 species
ACGGAAGGCAGCAGUGGGGAAUAUUGGGCAAUGGGGGAAACCCUGACCCAGCAACGCCGCGUGAGGGAAGAAGGUCUUCGGAUUGUAAACCUCUGUCCUUGGUGACGAAGAAAGUGACGGUAGCCAAGGAGGAAGCCCCGGCUAACUACGUGCCAGCAGCCGCGGUAAUACGUAGGGGGCGAGCGUUGUCCGGAAUUACUGGGCGUAAAGGGUGCGUAGGCGGUAAACUAAGUUGGAUGUGAAAUACCCGGGCUUAACUUGGGGGGUGCAUUCAAAACUGGCUUACUAGAGUGCAGGAGAGGAAAGCGGAAUUCCUAGUGUAGCGGUGAAAUGCGUAGAUAUUAGGAGGAACACCAGUGGCGAAGGCGGCUUUCUGGACUGUAACUGACGCUGAGGCACGAAAGCGUGGGGAGCAAACAGGAUUAGAUACCCUGGUA